rnacentral:rRNA from 1 species
UCUUGAAAUUUAAAGAAUUUGGCGGUAUUUUAAUCUCUUUAGAGGAACCUGUUUAAUAAUCGAUAAACCACGUAAAAUCUUACUUGUUUAAAUACAUUUGUAUACCGUCAUUAUUAGAUAACUUUUAUAGAAUUAGAUAUUGUAAUUUUUUUCUUAAAGAUAUAUUAGAUCAAGGUGCAGUUUAUAGGCAAGAAUAAAUGGGUUACAAUAAAAUUUUUUAUUAUGAAAUUAAUUAUGAAGCUAAUUAAUGAAAGAGGAUUUAAUUGUAAUUUUUUUUUAAAAAGAAAAAUUGAUAUUAGCUCUAAAAUAUGUACAUAUCGCCCGUCGCAAA